GGAGUAUGUUUGCAUCCUUGAAUUUGAAUUUCAGUUGAGAACAGAAGUUGAUGUUUCACUUUUUCGUUAAAUAUUUGUAGGAAUAGCUGCAUGUGAAAGCAACUGUCAUUGGCAGUCACCAUGCAAUUCAAGGAAUGUCACAGUUCAGGAGUUAUUUUGUACCUGUUGCUCACAAGAAGAGAACAACUGAGACAGAUGUCAGGCUGCAGGAGGACAUGCAUUCCAGAAACAGGAGGAACUUGGAGGGAGCAGAUUCAGACUGCACAAUUUCUCUUCCAUGUGUGGACAUUGGAAAUGCUCAUUUCCAUAACUGAUUAACUGGACAGCUUUUGCAGCUGCACAAGACUUGUUUCAAAGUGACGGUUCUCUUAGAGAUUCUCAC
rnacentral:lncRNA from 1 species